AAGGUGGGUGACGUAGUUCAGUUUCAUUGGCUCAUUGGUGCAUGAUUGUCACCCACCGUAGCCUAUUGGAAGUGGCGCUGAUGGUAUUUUAAGCCUGGAGUUAGAUCACCUGGUGUGCGUCACGACUAGGACCGCCCAUACUGGGUGCGCUGGUGUAGAGGGUGCGUGGUUUCUUUUGGUUUGUGGCUGUUUGGCUAAUAGAUGUGAGCAUGUGGAUUUUAAAUGUAGACUUUGUUUUUUCUUAGUGCGUUUUAUGCCUGGUUGGGUCACAGACUGUCCACUGCAUGUCAGCCGUGAAAUCAGUGAAAAGUCUUCCUGCAUGUUAAUUCAUUAUGAGCUGUGAGCGACUAUACACUUCGUGUGGCACGAGGAAUUGCUUUGGGCACUGCCGGUCCGAGGCUGGGAGGCUAGCUAGCUAGCUUGGAGUACGGGUGGUGGUGCAAUUGUGUGGAGUGGAGUGCUGCUUGGAUUCACCUCUCACUGCGUGUGUGCGUGUGUGCGUGCUACACGAAUCCACAAAUAGGGUCUUCACUCCAUCUAGCCUGCCCCUGCCGCUGGAAAGCCUGUGUCUUUUAUUAUUUUUAUUUAUUUUUUUUUUUUGAGUAUUUUCAAAUUGAUAUCUUUAUUUUGUCCAGUAUACAGAGCUUCUGAUUGUGACAGUGUUUGAUUGUGACCUGACAUUUGACAUUGAUUAUCAUUGAACAUUUUAACUAUUUAUGGUGAUUUGAAUAAAGUCUUUUGUACAUUGUUCACACGCCUCUCUCGGAUCACUUCAGCCUACGAACCUGUGUCCCUUAUUUUGGUUAUUUCCCCGUUUCUUUACGGGGUGGCGUAGUCGGAUUGUAUUUGGGUGUGUUCAAACGUACUUACAACGUUGUCCCCCCCCCCUCCCUCAGCAUUGCCACAUAUAUAUAUAUA